rnacentral:snoRNA from 1 species
AUUCCAUGAUGGGGGCAUUCUAGGAUGUAGUCUUGGAAGCGCUCCCAUGCUUCUGGAACGGAUUCAUCAUGUAGGUU